UUCGUCAUGUUGGGUAGACUGGUCUCGAUCUCUUGACCUCAUGAUCCGCUGGCCUCAGCCUCCCAAAGUGCUGGGAUUAUAGGCGUGAGCCACCGCACCCGGCCUCACCCUUCCAUUCUUUGGGCAUCCUCUGCCCAAACUCCUUUGCAACCAUCAGACCCAGGCAACCGUGUGGCCAGCUUCCUGGACCUGGUCCUGGGCAAGGACAUUCAGCAUGGAGGUCAGGAUGAAUGUGGUCAUGCCCCCUGUAUCCUCCUCCCCCAGCAGCCCCCAGAGAUGGUUCCCACAGUCACCGAGCUCCUCAAUGGUCACAGUAGCGCUGGGCUCAGAGAGGGCGCCUUCCCCAUCGGUCCGGUAGCUGCAGCUGUAGUUGCCAGGCUGAUGGACUGGAAAGGUGGCCUCCACAUCCUCCUGGGCCUCAGGCACCUCCAGAAACUCAUGGUCGCCCUCCCGCCUCAGCAGAAAAGUCACACCCCGCAGCACACCUCGGCACACUGCUGUUGUUUUCAGGCCGGGGGUGAUCCAGGACACUGGCGCCAUCGAGAGCCAGGGAGCAGGCAAGGACUCUGUGGGUGGGGUGGAGUUGAAGAGUGCUUCUGCAUAACAGGAGACGUGGGAAGCCCAGCAGAACCUGGGCCCCACACUCAUAAGACUGUGAAGGAGACAGGGAUGGAGGGCAUUGCUGGGAAAAGGCAGGCAGGCACCAGUGGAAACAAGGCAUACGGCAAGAGAAAAAGAGUGUGUGGGAGCUGUACGGCAUGCCGGGCCUGCUGGGGACACAACCAUGUAUUCCUUACAACACAGACAUCAUCCCCAUUUGACAGAUGGGAAGAUUGGGGCUUGGGGCUCAGAGACAUCGGGUGACUUGGAGGAAGGGAGACCCCCCAGUCAACAACCUACCCACUGCCUCCUGGCCCCCAAUUCAUGCCCCGGCUCACUUGGCCCUGUCAGCUCCAGGAGCUUGCUCAGCUGGGUCCAUCCUGUGGACAAGCCCGAGCGGCAGCGGUAGCGGCCCUGGGUGUCACCCGUCAGCAGGAACUGGUGCUUGAUGGCAGGUGAGUCAAGGUGCACAGGCUCCUGGGCCACCCCAUUCUUGAACAGCUGGAAGUCUGGAGUCUCCAGGUGGGCCUGGCACGUCAGCGUCACAUUGGCCAAGGGUUUCAGCAGUGAUUCGGACUCUGCCCACAGGCUGGGCUGCGUCUCAUAAACUGCAAGGGGUGGCUGGGAUCAGCUCAGUGCCACAGAGACAGGGCUCCCCCCCGGCCUGGGCCCACCAUUCCCAGACCUCACCCCUGCACUCACAUAUGGCUGCUUCUGUCACUGGGCCCCAGGUGACACCUGCGGAGACAGCCCCCGUAAGGCUCCUGUUCCCGCCCCCUCCCGCCCCAGGGACCCAGACCCCAGGAGGCCUCACCCCACAGCAAGAGAAAGACCACGAGCAUGGACAUGAUGGUCGCGCUCACUCCGGUGCAGUGAGUGUCUGGGUGAUGGAUCCUAGAACCUGUUCUAGAAGGAGACGCUGAGUUCUCCCCACUCUACCUGGAGCUGCUGAGGUCAAGUGGAGAGUGCCGGGGCUGAAGCCCAGCGAGCCCCUCCCUGUCACACCACACUGCACAUGUGACACCAAAGGCAUUUAUUGAGCAUCUACUGUGUGCCAGAUGCAAAGAAGACAGUGGGAUAACUGGGCAAGGAGCAUUCCAGGCAGAGGGAACAGCCAGUGCAAACAUGGGAGAUGCGGGUGCAGUGAGAAGGAGCAGAGGAGACCAGGAGUUGAGGCGACUGCAGAGCGAUUGCAGAGCUCAUAGACGUGAUGAAGACCAGCUGGGCACUGCAGCGGCUCUGGCUUCUGCUGUGAGGGACGGGGAGCUGUGGAGACUCCCUCUGUUUGGUCCCAUUUCCAUAUUGCUGAGCACCUGCUGCAUGCUCUCUGUCCUGCUCAGAGCCAGUACCUGGAUGGAGGCUGUGUGUUCUGGGUGGACUGGGGGAGAAUGCAUUCUUUGCAGAAGAGACAACCAGGUGCUGAGGCCUGAAGUCAUAACCAGACCUGGGGCACUCAGACAAGGACUGGUGGCCAGGCCAGAGGAGCAGAGCUCAGGGUGUGCACAGAACUCAGAAGUCAGACCACUGAACAGUGACAGAACCUUUCAGCCCAUUGGCAAUGAGGCUGCCCAGGCAGCCAGAGGCCUGGUCAAAUCUGAGGUCUGCAGAGAUGGAGCUGUCAUUCUGUGUUUCCUUUGGCAGUCCCAACACCAGCCUCGUUGCACCCUCCUCUUAGCUUCCCUGGGUUCUCCAGCCCUAAGGGUGGUAGCAGCUUCCUGCAAGUAUCCAGCUCUGAGAUUCUGCAACAUCCACUUUUGCUCUCUGAGCCUUGCAAAACCUGCACAAUCAGUCCCUAACUUAUAUCCCCUCUGU
rnacentral:lncRNA from 1 species